CGGGGUGCAGCAGGCGCGAAAACUUUACAAUGCGGGAAACCGUGAUAAGGGGACACCGAGUGCCAGCAUCAUAUGCUGGCUGUCCAGGUGUGUAAAAUACACCUGUCAGCAAGGGCCGGGCAAGACCGGUGCCAGCCGCCGCGGUAACACCGGCGGCCCGAGUGGUGAUCGUGAUUAUUGGGUCUAAAGGGUCCGUAGCCGGUUUGGUCAGUCCUCCGGGAAAUCUGACGGCUCAACCGUAAGGCUUUCGGGGGAUACUGCCAGGCUUGGAACCGGGAGAGGUAAGAGGUACUACAGGGGUAGGAGUGAAAUCUUGUAAUCCCUGUGAGACCACCUGUGGCGAAGGCGUCUCACCAGAACGGGUUCGACGGUGAGGGAAGAAAGCUGGGGGCACGAACCGGAUUAGAUACCCGGGUAGUCCCAGCCGUAAACGAUGCUCGCUACGUGUCAG
rnacentral:rRNA from 1 species